GAAAGCCGUAUGAGGUGAAAGUCUCACGUACGGUUUGGAAUAGGAGGAGAGGAAGGCGACUUCCUUUUCGACCCUUAAU
rnacentral:ncRNA from 1 species